CGUAGGCGGAUUGGAAGUUAGGAGGGUGAAAUCCCGGGGGCCUCAACCCUCGGAACUGCCUUCCAAAACUCCCAGUCUAGAGUUCGAGAGAGGUGAGUGGAAUUCCAAGUGUAGAGGUGAAAUUCGUAGAUAUUUGGAGGAACACCAGUGGCGAAGGCGGCUCACUGGCUCGAUACUGAC
rnacentral:rRNA from 1 species